UCUCCGUAGGUGAACCUGCGGAGGGAUCAUUACAGAGUUCUCGCCCUCGCGGAUAGAUCUCCCACCCACUGUUAUCGUUACUGUGUUGCUUUGGCGGGCCGCCGGGCCCCGCUCGGCCGCCGGCUCCGGCUGGCGCGCGCCCGCCAGAGGCCCAGCAAACUCUGAAUGUUAGUGUCGUCUGAGUACUAUAUAAUAGUUAAAACUUUCAACAACGGAUCUCUUGGUUCUG
rnacentral:misc_RNA from 1 species